rnacentral:rRNA from 1 species
UACAGAGGUCUCAAGCGUUGUUCGGAUUCAUUGGGCGUAAAGGGCGCGUAGGUGGCCUGUGGAAGUCUGCGGUGAAAGCCCGGCGCUCAACGCCGGGUCGGCCGUGGAUACUCUCGGGCUCGAGCUUACUAGAGGCAGAUGGAAUUCCGGGUGUAGCGGUGGAAUGCGUAGAGAUCCGGAAGAACACCGGUGGCGAAGGCGGUCUGCUGGGGUAAUGCUGACACUGAUGCGCGACAGCGUGGGGAGCAAACAGG